rnacentral:tRNA from 1 species
GGGCCUUUAGCUCAGUUGGUCAGAGCCUCCGGCUCAUAACCGGGUGGUCGCAGGUUCGAGUCCUGCAAGGCCCACCA